UCUAUGAUAUCACAGUAACCAAUUAAAUACUCUCUGUAACUUUACAUAUCUUGCUCGAAUAACUAACCCAGGCAGUGAGCAACCCCUUGUAUCUUUGCAGUUCUUUGCCCCAUGUUACAAUUCCUCAUGGGUCCUUGCUAACCGUCUCCCUGAGAGUAGCUGGCAUGGGGGUUACACAGAAAUUUCUGUAGUGAAGCUUGGGGCCUCAAAGGGAUCUCUUAGAUCACCUAGUCCAAGCCUCCCCAAACCUGGCUGAGCUUUUAAGAAUACAGAUUCCUGAGCCCCGCUCAGAAUUAUGGAAUCCAAAACCACCAGGAACGGGGAUGAGGUGGUGCCCAGAAACUGUAUUUUAACUGGUUCUUGGAAUUCUGGGCUUCAGCCACAUCUGGGAAUGACUGGCAAGGUCGAAUGUGUUUGUUUUAUAAAUGACUGCACAGAGACCCCCACGAGGGUGAAUGAGUGAGUGACCAGGGGCCACGCAGCUCGCUGGACUGUCGGGUGAGACGUGGUGACUUCCUACUGGGGAGCUGUUCUCCGUAUCCGGUGAACGUUGUUUCUGAAUAAUUCCAUCUUUCCUCAUUGGAAACCUUCUUGAAUUGUAAAACAUUACAGGUAACCAAAAACGAAAAAAGGUGUGAAGCUCGUUAUGAAUAUUUUUCUGUAAUUUGUGCAUUUUUUUUCCUUUUCUUUUCUGAACCCACUGUCUUUUAUAUUGCUGAUGUACUCAGCUCCCAAAUCUGUUUGUUUAUCAGGAAAGAAAAAGCGAGUGCUAUGGAAUUUGCCGUUGUUCUCUAUGACUCUAUCUUGAGGAGCUGUUGAAAGCUCCUGCUCAGAGGACAACGUGUGGAUCCCUGAGAAGGCAGUGGAGGUCUCCCUGACUCCCAUGCCAGGUCCUGCCCCAGUUUUCUGCUUCUAAGGAGUUUUGUGCUGCUGGGAAAAUUAUCGAACAAAUCCAUGUGUUCCCUCAUCCCCCCUCCCCCCGGCUUUAGCCACCGGGUUAGAUGGAAUACCCUCCAGGCUCCUCCCGGGUGAUAGGGCCAUUCAGCCUCUGAGCUGUUCAUACCUGGAUGGCAUCCCCUGCAGGAUGCGGAGCUGGCCUGCACUGACUCCUGCCAACAGUUCCUAGAGCAGGUAUCAGGGUCACUUGCCCUUUAAGAGGGCUCCUAGCUGCCCGAGCGGAUGAGAAAUGCACAGAACUAUGGGAGGAUAGGAGUGUGAUGGGCUUUAAGCAUGAGCCAAGGAAGGCAUGAAUGAGCUGUACCUCACCCAAGAUCUGACGGCAGAGAUCAGUAAACUUCACGAUGUGCUUAAUCGCAAACCCUAGUCUAACGCCAGUCUUCCUGCAGACAGUUCCGAGAGCAGGUCUCGACGUCGCGUGCCCUUUAAGAGGGCUCUCGGCUGCUCGAGUGGGUGAGGAUCAGUGUGUUAAGAUUGAUAUUAGACUAGGAAAACAAACCUUAGUUAACUUUUAUUUUCAUUUCUGCUGCUGCUUUGCUGCACCUCCUUUCUCUUCCCUUCAGAGUUUACUGUGGUUCUCACUGGUCUGUUUCUGUAGCCUUCCAGGAGAGAGGAGAGCAUUUUGGGGACUGAAAGCUUCAAGUUCCUGCCAAGGAACUGGUUCCUGCCCUCCGUGGUUGGUGAGGAGGGUAGUCUGCAUAUUUAGCUAGCUAGUUAUUUGCAUGUGAAGUCCCGGGAGGCUUACAGACUGUUGAGAGGUUCUGCAAGGCAUGCAAACAAACAGACCAACAGGCUGGACAGUUCUUGGAGCUCUGCAGCAUUCCGGUGUGUGAAAGGCUCUGAGAAGUCUCAACCCAGCAUUUCCAAACUUCUUUGAGCCUAAAACUCUUUUCUCUCAUACCUGGUCCCAGACCCCCACAAAACAUGUUUUGCAGAACUUCUGCCAACUUUGGGAUAGCUUACCCCCUUCCUAUUCUGGGAAAGGUUUUAUUGCUUGUAGACCCCUCAGAAGCUAGCGUGUGGUGUACGUGGGGUGUACGUGGGCUGUACGUGGGCUGUUUUCCCCAGCUCAGCCUGGGUCAUGAACAAAUGGGCAGUUUGGCCUGAAUCUUGGGGCAGGUUGGGGAGAGCACAUGCAGCAAUGUGGGAAGUGAGGGGACCCCUGCCAUACCCCCCAACAUCCGCUGUAGAGCACCGACCUUCAUCCCUCACCCUGGUCCUCCAUGGUGCAGCAGCAUCUCAUGGGCCUUGCGGCUCUCAGAGCUCGUGGUUGGAACCCUGUCCACUUGUCCCAAACCUGGCGGGGCAGCUGCAGAUAAGGUUUGGACCCCCUGGUGUCUCUAUGGAUUCUGAGUGCCCGGGAGGGGAGGGGAGGGGGAAGGGUGGCAUCCUGGCCUCCAGGAUAAAUGCCUGGAAUAUAGGGCAGCGCCACGGGCACUUGGAGACCCUGUCCUGCGCAUCUGCCAAGCCUGGCAAUUUUUAGAGUUUUUUGAAAUGUUUUGAUACUUUUUGAUACAAUUUGCUAAUAACUGUUUUAUAGAAUGCCUGACGGGGGUUUUCCACCUCAUCCCCUUCCUCCGGCCCCUUGAUUUGUGCUGGACAACAGAUGGCCAGUGGUCAGCACCAGGACCUCGCCUCGUAUGGCUUUGUCUUGGAUCUUGCCCUUCUCCGUCACUGAUGCGAUGCAGCUCUAGAAUUUCGUGAAGCUGCAUGCAAAGUUGCACGCAGCCCAUGGGUAUGACUGUCUCAGGCCCCCAGCUGAUUUGCCAAGAGGAAACCUUAACUCCCUUGAGAGGGUCUGCAUUUCUUCCAGAGCUCCUACCUCAGUGGUGUGCACAGAGUUGGAGAGACACCUGAGGGCCGGUCCACGUCUCACCUUUGCCAUACGGGUCAUUUCUUGAUCAAAUAUAUGACUGGGGUCCUGGUUUACUCCCGUCCACCCUUUCUUUUAAAGUAUUGUUAACAUGAAAUCCACAAAAGCAGAAACAAUGAACCAUUCUUGCACUUUACAGAAUCAUUGUCCUUAGCUUUAGAGGUUGUUAAUUUCUUGUUGUUUUUAACAUGAAUAGAAUGUGUGGUUCUGAAGGUGUGUGGGGGUCUCAAGAAAUUGUCCUUUGGGGCUGGGCGCGGUGGCUCACACCUGUAAUCCCAGCACUUUGGGAGGCCAAGGGGGGCGGAUCACCUGAGGCCAAGAGUUCGAGACCAUCCUGACCAACAUGGUGAAACCCCGUCUCUCCUAAAAUACAAAAAUUAGACAGUCGUGGUCGCCUGUAAUCUCAGCUCUUCGGGAGGCUGAGGCAGGAGAAUCACUUGAACCCAGGAGGCAGAGGUUACAGUGAGCCGAGAUUGCACCACUGCACUCCAGCCUGGGUGACAAGAGUAAGACUCUGUCUCAAAAAAACAAAAGAAAAGAAAUUGUCCUUUGGUUGCCUAAGUUACCAGAGUUGAAUGAAUGUACACAUUUCGGUAGUUGGGGGGAGGGCAGAGCGGAUAACGCCUUCCUUGUCUAUUUCCUUUGAGAAAAGACGCUCCACCUUUUCUCAGUUACUUAAAGCCAUCUUUACAGAUUGCUUGUAAUGUAAGGAAAGAGUCCUGUCCUUUGGAUUGAUUGAGGUUAAGUCAUCAACCACUAGCCCCCUUUCAAAAUCAGCGAGAUAUUUGAUGAUUAAGUGAUUCAUUGGGUAUGUUCUGGCUACUGAUGUUACUGAAAUCUGCAAUUGUGUAUGUUUUUUAAUUUGUUGCUUUUGUAUUUGUAAUUUUAUGACAUUCGAAGUUUCUGUGUCUUAACUCUUUUUAAUUAAUUUUCUGCACGUUGCUUUUUUCUCUGUUUUUAAUUCCAUACAGAGUAUUCAAUUCUUGAAACACAUUAAAAUAAUUUGCUUGCUAGGGUAUGGUUUAUUUUAUAAUUACAUUCCUAGUCUUGUGUGGUUAUUGUAAUGAUCUCUGGUCCUAAUUUCUCUGCCCGUAUGAAAAAGAACCCCUUGCAUGUUGAUCCUAAAUAUAAUUUGGAAAUUAA